rnacentral:rRNA from 1 species
GCAAGAUUAAAACUCAAAGGAAUAGACGGGGACCCGCACAAGUGGUGGAGCAUGUGGUUUAAUUCGAAGAUACGCGAAGAACCUUACCUAGCCUUGACAUUGAUAGAAUCUUCCAGAGAUGGAGGAGUGCCUUUCGGGGAACUUGAAAACAGGUGCUGCACGGCUGUCGUCAGCUCGUGUCGUGAGAUGUUGGGUUAAGUCCCGCAACGAGCGCAACCCUCGUCACUAGUUACUAACAGUUAGGCUGAGGACUCUAGUGAGACUGCCUUCGUAAGGAGGAGGAAGGUGAGGACGACGUCAAGUCAUCAUGGCCCUUACGGCUAGGGCAACACACGUGCUACAAUGGUUAGGACAGUGAGAAGCGAUACCGCGAGGUGGAGCCAAUCUAUAAACCUAAUCUCAGUUCGGAUUGUAGUCUGCAACUCGACUACAUGAAGCUGGAAUCACUAGUAAUCGUAGAUCAGCUAUGCUACGGUGAAUACGUUCCCGGAUCUUGUACUCACCGCCCGUCACACCAUGGGAGUUGAUUUCACCCGAAGCGGGGAAGCUAAACUGGCUACCCUCCACGGUGGAAUUAGCGACUGGGGUGAAGUCGUAACAAGGUA